rnacentral:rRNA from 1 species
AUUGAACGCUGGCGGCAGGCCUAACACAUGCAAGUCGAACGAGUGGCGGACGGGUGAGUAAUGUCUGGGAAACUGCCCGAUGGAGGGGGAUAACUACUGGCAACGGUAGCCAAUACCGCAUACCAUCGGAUGUGCCCAGAUGGGAUUAGCUAGUAGGUGGGGUAACGGCUCACCUAGGCGACGAUCCCUAGCUGGUCUGAGAGGAUGACCGGCCACACUGGAACUGAGACACGGUCCAGACUCCUACGGGAGGCAGCAGUGGGGAAUAUUGCGCAAUGGGCGCAAGCCUGAUGCAGCCAUGCCGCGUGUAUGAAGAAGGCCUUCGGGUUGUAAAGUACUGUCAGCGGGGAGGCGUUACUCGCAGAAGAAGCACUGGCUAACUCCGUGCCAGCAGCCGCGGUAAUUC